rnacentral:rRNA from 1 species
UAAUUGUACUGACAUUCGCCCGUAAAGAGCCCAAGAGAUCGGUUAAUCAUGGUGAGGUAGGUGAAAAGGGGAAGAAAGAGGGAGGCCACCUAGAGGUCGGUGGGUCCGGGCCCGGUACCCGCCUCUGCCGCUGAAGUUGCGGCGUCCGCGGCCUUCCCCUUCGCGCCCAGCCUCCGCACGGCGCACCCCCGGGUUCACACUCCGUCGGCGCCCGCCCUCUGCGUCUCGCCGCGAGGCCGGGCUUCCAGCGCUGUCCUCAAGCAGCGGCUCCCGGGCUCCGCCUCGCGUGCGCCAGCCGUCCGCGUCGCGGCCGCUCAACGACCUCAUGCCCUCCCUCCCUCCGUGGCAUACCUAACACAUCGCCGCUCCUCCGCGGCCGAUGAAGUCGAAGGCGCGGUGCUUCCGCUGCCACACCGAGCAGGUCUAGUAGGUACCGCGGUCUAUUCUAGACCUUCCAAAACUCUAAACACGAAUAAAAUGCGGGUAUACGAGACUUCAACAACCACAAAGUUCUUACACCGUAGGGUCAGGUGCCGUACUUUGUUCCCUACUCGACUUAAGCAACGGAACAUUGUCGAUCCGUUGUCCUCCUCGACUUAAGACUUCAUUACAAAAGAAUCGUCUCCAAACUAGUUACUGACAACAACUGGAGACAACGCUCACGUGUGGAUAUGUGGAUAUCCGAUCUCUCAAGAUGUCCUCUGCCCUUUCUCUCCUUUCGCUCAAGUUCAUGACGGUCCUUUGGGUGGCACGUACGAGCAGUAGUAUUGCACGGGACACCCCGCCUUUGGAUCUGUCGUGGUGUUGUUAUUGAUUGGGAUAAUGUCGAGGUGUCGACUAACAAACCUACUACCCGGACUCUAAAAUGGAAAUCGUUUUUUAAUUAGUAUAGUAACUGGUUGAACGUUAACACUGUAAAGGUUUUGUUUUUACGGUUCUGCUACUAGUCACCUAUCAUUACCAACGUUUUAUGGUUUAAUAGAUUGAAUUUCACGGAUCGUCUACAUGUAAAGAACUCUAUUAUGGUAUAGGGAGUCGGUGGCCUGUUCAAGACCAACGAUGACCAAAAUGUACAUUCUCAAGUUCUUAAAAUGUAGAGGAGUACGCUAAGGGACGAGUAGCCAUUAUGGUCGCUUAUUUAAGUAUGGGUGUCCUAUAAGGUACUACGCGCAUAAUAACCUCCUAGAACUUAUUAAUGGCGCUUGGUAAGUUUCCUUUGUGAUUACGUCCUUCAUUAAUUUGCCGUUUUUAACGUGACCUUCCGCGGAGAUAUAUUUGUCAUCGUCUUACUUUCGUGUUGUUGGUCAUGUUUUCCUGUUAUCCUCUUCCUUGGUUUCUUUGUCAUUUCUUGAAAACGAUACCGAGGUUAGUUGAGUUCCAAAGACACGAACUACCAAGAAAACUACUAGAGUAGGUGAACGAACAGCUCAGUUCAUAGUCUCUAGUUGUAUCCAGACCUUCGGUUGCUUACGGCCCCGGCACUUGGGAUGGUCAUGUUAACAUGCGGACUACCAACACAAUGACGGACGUUUUUUGACCCGACACAAUGACCCCAAACGGUGUUUCUACCAUCAACGAGAACGUCGAUCUACUCCGACGAGUCAGGAGUCACCAACGAGAUUAAACAGCGUUCUUUUUCUGGGUCUUAUUAUUCGAAUCCUGUAUUACAACUCGACAGAAGUUAAGGAAACUAAUCAAUUUACCUCUAAGAAAUAAAAGGGACACCAGAGGGCAUAGUAUAAAAAAAAUUACUUUCUUUACCACCAGAAAAC